rnacentral:rRNA from 1 species
AUUGAACGCUGGCGGCAUGCUUUACACAUGCAAGUCGAACGGCAGCGCGGGCUUCGGCCUGGCGGCGAGUGGCGAACGGGUGAGUAAUGCAUCGGAUCGUGCCCAGUAGUGGGGGAUAGCCCGGCGAAAGCCGGAUUAAUACCGCAUACGACCUGAGGGUGAAAGCGGGGGACCGAAAGGCCUCGCGCUAUUGGAGCGGCCGAUGUCGGAUUAGCUAGUUGGUGGGGUAAAGGCUUACCAAGGCGACGAUCCGUAGCUGGUCUGAGAGGACGACCAGCCACACUGGGACUGAGACACGGCCCAGACUCCUACGGGAGGCAGCAGUGGGGAAUUUUGGACAAUGGGGGCAACCCUGAUCCAGCCAUGCCGCGUGCGGGAAGAAGGCCUUCGGGUUGUAAACCGCUUUUGUUCGGGAAGAAAUCCUCUGGGCUAAUACCCCGGGGGGAUGACGGUACCGGAAGAAUAAGCACCGGCUAACUACGUG